UAUUAAAAAUAUGAGAAUUCAUGACAAGAAGACACUGCUUCCUUUUCAAAAAGGAAUAUUAAUAUCAAAUAUAUCACUCUUGAAUUUGUAUAAAGAUGUUAAAUGUAUAUUUCCUUAUAUUCUUACUAACUAAACCAAGAUAUUCUGGAAAAUAUGCUUAGUUAUCUAAAGAGGAUGGCUGGAUUAGCAAGUAAUAAUAUUACAGCAUUAGAUUUCAAAUAUUGUCUCCGAUGGAAUAUUUUGGAGAAACAUAAAAUUUUGUUUUCAUAAAUAUAGAAACUGUACUAGCAUAUAAAUUGUUUGAUGACAAUGAGUGUUUGGCAAGUCAAAAAACUUAAGUGGCUUUAUUGUAUGCUAAAAAUUUUCAACAAAUAUAUCAGUUCAGGAUAAACUAUGGCUUUGUUAAAAGAUUUUGAACUUGAAAUAAAUAUAGAAGAUGUGUUUGACAGCGUGGAAUUGGAAUGCGUAGAGCAUGUUGCUGAAUAUGUCACCAGCAGAUAUUAUGAAAAAUAUCCACAACUCACAUCUACUAAAGAGGAACAUACCAUGUGUUGGACAAAUUUUUUAUUAAAAAUUCCAAGUAAAAUGUUGUUAAAAGCUAUGCAAUUAUUAGAAACAUAUUUUACAAAACAACACGGAAAAAAUGUAUCCAAAAUACCUGGAGUCAUGAAAAGCAUAACCAACAUCACGAAAAAAAAAAUCCUCAGACUAUAAGUUGGACAUUCCUGAGGAGGGUUGAGUUGUAUGGUUUGAUUAGUGUAAAGAACAUGAAUAAAUCCAUAUUGUAUAAUAGGUUUGCACAAAAAACCAAACAAACUAAAAAAAAAUUACUGCCUAGAAUUUAUAAUACAUAAUUGUAUAAAGGAUUAUAAUAUUAUAGUACACUUAGAAAUUAUAAAAUAAAAAAUUUACAUACUAAAUAUCAUGACAAAGUAGAUAUUUGUUUUCUUCAUGAUCUUCCCAACAAUUGAUGUAAUCAAGAUUAUCUUUUAAAAUCAUUUAUAAUAAAUACUAUACUAUUAUAUUCAAAUUGUUAUUUAUAAUUUAUAUAACUACCUGGAAAUCAGGACUUUCGAUUUUUAUUCCUUCUACAGGGUACUUUCGGUUUAAUACAUCAAAAAGUUUAUCAAAUCGAUCAGUAAAGAAUUGUUUGAGAGCUAUUUUUUAAAGAUUCUACUUAUACAUUUCUUCGAUAAAAUUCUAAGCCUUUGGCCAUGGAAUCGCUACAAAUCUGAAAUUAAUUAAUACAUGUAUUAUAUUAAACUUGUUUUUGAUCAUUGUUUUUUCAAAUUUUACCCGAGGGGCCAAUUUGACAUUCAUUUUACUGAAACCAUUAACAUGUAAAUGUCUAAGCGUAAUUUUGGGACAAACUUGUUGGGGAAUUUGAAUUUCUCUUCAUAUUAUUAUCACAUACAUCAAUUUAAUGUGACCAUCUUAUGUGUGGAGACUCUUGGAAACCAUUUAACAUUUAAUAUUAAAGACAAUCAUUUGAACUAUUUAUCUUUUAGAAAUACUAAAUUUAAAAAAC